rnacentral:rRNA from 1 species
UAAGGUUAAGUUAAUAAGGGCGCACGGUGGAUGCCUUGGCACUAGGAGCCGACGAAGGACGUGACAAACGACGAUAUGCCUUGGGUAGCUGUAAGUAAGCGAUGAUCCAGGGAUUUCCGAAUGGGGGAACCCAACAGGUAAUACCUGUUACCCACAUCUGUUAAGGAUGUGAGGAGGAAGACGCAGUGAACUGAAACAUCUAAGUAGCUGCAGGAAGAGAAAGCAAAAGCGAUUGCCUUAGUAGCGGCGAGCGAAACGGCAGAAGGGCAAACCGAAGAGUUUACUCUUCGGGGUUGUAGGACUGCAAUGUGGACUCAAAGAUUAUAGAAGAAUGAUUUGGGAAGAUCAGCCAAAGAGAGUAAUAGCCUCGUAUUUAAAAUAGUCUUUGUACUUAGCAGUAUCCUGAGUACGGCGGGACACGUGAAAUCCCGUCGGAAUCUGGGAGGACCAUCUCCCAACCCUAAAUACUCCCUAGUGACCGAUAGUGAACCAGUACCGUGAGGGAAAGGUGAAAAGCACCCCGGGAGGGGAGUGAAAUAGAACCUGAAACCGUGUGCCUACAACAAGUUCGAGCCCGUUAAUGGGUGAGAGCGUGCCUUUUGUAGAAUGAACCGGCGAGUUACGUUAUGAUGCGAGGUUAAGUUGAAGAGACGGAGCCGUAGGGAAACCGAGUCUGAAUAGGGCGCCUUAGUAUCAUGACGUAGACCCGAAACCAUGUGACCUACCCAUGAGCAGGUUGAAGGUGCGGUAAGACGCACUGGAGGACCGAACCAGGGCACGUUGAAAAGUGCUUGGAUGACUUGUGGGUAGCGGAGAAAUUCCAAACGAACUUGGAGAUAGCUGGUUCUCUCCGAAAUAGCUUUAGGGCUAGCGUCGACAUUAGAGAUUCUUGGAGGUAGAGCACUGUUUGGGUGAGGGGUCCAUCCCGGAUUACCAAUCUCAGAUAAACUCCGAAUGCCAAUGAAUUAUGGUCGGCAGUCAGACUGCGAGUGCUAAGAUCCGUAGUCGAAAGGGAAACAGCCCAGACCACCAGCUAAGGUCCCAAAAUAAUUGUUAAGUGGAAAAGGAUGUGGGGUUGCACAGACAACUAGGAUGUUAGCUUAGAAGCAGCUAUUCAUUCAAAGAGUGCGUAAUAGCUCACUAGUCGAGUGACCCUGCGCCGAAAAUGUACCGGGGCUAAAACAAUUUACCGAAGCUGUGGAUACCUUUAUAGGUAUGGUAGGAGAGCGUUCUAUGUGUGAUGAAGGUAUACCGUGAGGAGUGCUGGAACGCAUAGAAGUGAGAAUGCCGGUAUGAGUAGCGAAAGACAGGUGAGAAUCCUGUCCACCGUAAGACUAAGGUUUCCAGGGGAAGGCUCGUCCGCCCUGGGUUAGUCGGGACCUAAGGAGAGACCGAAAGGUGUAUCCGAUGGA